UUUAGGGAGACCGGCAUGUGUUCACGUUCUCUCUUUCUCUUCCCUCGUUCUUUUCUUUCUCCAAGUCCCUUGUCUGCCAUAGGCUUACCCCUCCCUCCCGUGCCAAAAUAUUUUCUUUGUUAUGCUAAUAAUACCUUUUAAUUUAUAUAAUGCUUAUAACUUUUUAAAAGUGAUUUCAUAGUAAUGAACUCAUUUAAACAUCUCAGCAACCAGAGAAAGUUCUUUUCAGUACUGAAAUAAUCAGGAGAACCGUGGGAAGGAGACAGGACUUAAAACUUUUUGACAUGUCUUUCUUUGUUUAGCUGAAGGUCUUGAGUUUGUAGCUUGGGACUACUAUAAAUUUGUACAGACACGUAUAGCCCUAAUUUGUGUGGUACAGUUAUGUAGUGCAUAGUGCCAGUGAGGUCAUCAGAGCUCAUAUAUGAUUUUGGUCCCACGGAUUACAAGGGAGCUGAAAAAUUUCCAUUGCCUAGUGAAGCUGUAGUGUUCAUAAUUUCUUAGUGACUCAUGUUUUUGUGGUGAUGCUGGUGUAAACAAACUUACUGUGCAGACAGUCCCUGUAAAAGUGUAGCAUAUGCAGUUAUGUACAGUACAUAAUACUUGAUAACGUUAAAUUAUUGGUUGGUGUAUUUUCUACCCAUUUUAUCAUUGUUUUAGUGUGUACUUCUGUUGAUUAAAAAGAAAAAGUUAACUAUAGAACAGCCUGAGGCGGGUCUUUCAGGAAAUAUUCCAGAAGAAUGCACUGUCAUAAUAGCAGGUGACAGCUACAUGCGUGUUGUUGCCCCUGAAAACCUUUCAGUGGGAUGAGAUUGGAGGUAGAAGACAGUGAUGUGAAUGACCAGGACCCUGUGUAGGCCUAGGCUAGUGGGUGUUUGUGUCUUUGUUAUUUUUUUUUUUUUUU